GGAGGGUGCGAGCGUUAAUCGGAAUUACUGGGCGUAAAGCGCGCGUAGGCGGCUUGGUCAGUCGGAUGUGAAAGCCCCGGGCUUAACCUGGGAAUUGCAUUCGAUACUGCCAGACUAGAGUAUGGGAGAGGGUAGCGGAAUUUCCGGUGUAGCGGUGAAAUGCGUAGAUAUCGGAAGGAACACCAGUGGCGAAGGCGGCUUCCUGGCCCAAUACUGACGCUGAGGUGCGAAAGCGUGGGGAGCGAACAGGGAUUAGAUACCCUGGUAGUCCACGCCGUAAACGAUGAGAACUAGAUGUCGGGAGGAUUUGCCUCUCGGUGUCGCAGCUAACGCGUUAAGUUCUCCGCCUGGGGAGUACGCCGGCAACGGUA
rnacentral:rRNA from 1 species